rnacentral:piRNA from 1 species
UUGUCAUCACGCACUGCUGGGAGC